GGGGCGUUGGUGGUAGAGCUCCCGCCUGCCACGCCGGCGGCCUGGGUUCGUAUCCCAGCCAAUGCCCCA
rnacentral:tRNA from 1 species